UGCGUCCCUGACAUUCUGAGCUUCCCAGGCACUAGGAAGAGACGAUUGUGUCUCGCUGGAACAAUUCGUCUCAAUUAAAGUUGGACGCUACUUUCCUCGCACCUCUCAAAGGACGCUAGAAAGUUAAGAACUGUUCCCUGCUUUCAUGAUAGAUAUAUUGAUUGAUUUAAUGAUAUUUAAGCACUAGCUAUUAAUGUGCAUAAUCUUUGGGGAGAAAGGCCUUAUUAGCAGGACUAUAGCGAUCUCUUUUAAUCAUUGCUUCAUAUGAUUAUGCUACUGGAGUUUUUCUUGUCUA